UUUAAAUCUCAUAAUUUUGAGUUUGAGUCUCAUAAUUUGAGUUUGAGUCUCAUAAUUUGAGUUUAAAUCUCAUAAUUUGAGUUUAAAUCUCAUAAUUUUGAGUUUAAGUCUCAUAAUUUGAGUUUAAGUCUCAUAAUUUUGAGUUUAAGUCUCAUAAUUUGAGUUUGAGUCUCAUAAUUUGAGUUUAAAUCUCAUAAUUUUGAGUUUAAGUCUCAUAAUUUGAGUUUAAAUCUCAUAAUUUGAGUUUGAGUCUCAUAAUUUGAGUUUAAAUCUCAUAAUUUGAGUUUAAAUCUCAUAAUUUUGAGUUUAAGUCUCAUAAUUUGAGUUUAAAUCUCAUAAUUUUGAGUUUGAGUCUCAUAAUUUGAGUUUGAGUCUCAUAAUUUGAGUUUAAAUCUCAUAAUUUGAGUUUAAAUCUCAUAAUUUUGAGUUUAAGUCUCAUAAUUUGAGUUUAAGUCUCAUAAUUUUGAGUUUAAGUCUCAUAAUUUGAGUUUGAGCCUCAUAAUUUGAGUUUAAAUCUCAUAAUUUUGAGUUUAAGUCUCAUAAUUUGAGUUUAAAUCUCAUAAUUUUGAGUUUAAGUCUCAUAAUUUGAGUUUAAGUCUCAUAAUUUGAGUUUGAGUCUCAUAAUUUUGAGUUUAAGUCUCAUAAUUUGAGUUUAAGUCUCAUAAUUUGAGUUUGAGUCUCAUAAUUUUGAGUUUAAGUCUCAUAAUUUGAGUUUAAGUCUCAUAAUUUUGAUUUGAGUCUCAUAAUUUUGAGUUUAAGUCUCAUAAUUUGAGUUUAAGUCUCAUAAUUUGAGUUUAAGUCUCAUAAUUGAUAAUCUCAGAAUUGAUUCCAGAGAGAAUCACGAUUGAUUCAGAAGAACCGAUCCAUGAAUCGAUUCUGCAUCGAUUUAUCAUCGCAGCCCAGAUAAACGCGCACUUUGAUAUAGACAGCCUUAAUAGCUUGGUAUAUGGUCAUUUCUCGAGGCUCGGGUUCGGCAAACGUCCGUGUUUGAGCUCAUUUGAGUGUGUUUUACACGUUAAGCUGCUGGCGCCUGCAAUCUGACUGAAUGUAAAUCUGUAUGUGUUUCUGAUGUACAAAUUUCGUUCCAGACCAAAAUCACUUCUGAGGAUCUUUACCAAAUCUAGAGCUUGAAGCAAUAUGAUUUCCACCACCGUCCUCAGGGCAAACACUCGUUCAGUUCUGUAUUUUUGAGUUUCAGUUUGAGAGUGCCACUAACAAUACACUCCAGCUCGUGAUGUGUUGCCUUAAAUAUAAUAUAAGCGUCUACUCUUCUAAAGCCCCUUCACACCAAGAACGAUUAACACACUCUCUUCUGCUGCUUUAUAUUCUCCAGCUUGUUACAGCAGGAUGGAUUCAAUUCUGUAUCUUUUGUAACUGUAUUUAAGUUCUAAAUCUUGCAUUUUGAGUUUAAAUCUUGCAACUUUUUCUUGCAAAUUUCUUUAUUCUGUGACACGAGCAAGCUUCCAUAGAAAUGCAUCUUAAAUUCUAAUGCCAGCAUUGUUAUCUUGUAGAGUUGCAUUGCUUUUUUAUUUUUAUUUAAAGCACAUGUAAAGUAUGAAUGCAUAAAUAUGAAAUGUUUGUUCAUGCUUUUAUGUUUAUGAGCACCAGAUGUAUUAUUAUUAUUAUUAUUAUUAAAUUAUUAUCUUUACUGUAGUACAGAUUCAUUAUAAUGCUGGAAUGAAGAUGUGCUAUUUAUAGCAUGUAAAUAACUAACAACGCUAAUGUUAUUAUUUAAUGUGAUGGUUAUGUUCUGUAUUGUAUAUUUUUUAACAUUUGUUGUAAUGUUUGUCAGGAGAUGCUAAAACCAAACUGCCACUAAAACACACUCUUCAUUCACACACACGCUGUUAUAAUUAUUAGUGUUUUAUUAGCCAUUUUAACAACCAUAUUGUCUGCUUUCUUUUUGUAUAAAUGUUGAGUUCAACAAAUGUAACGGGUUUAACUUUUAUCUCUUACGUCACACUGAUGUGACGUCAUUCUGUAUUCACUCCUUUGGUUCAUAAUUCUGGAUGCAAUGAAUUUUAAUUAAACCACAAAAUUUGGAAAAUGCCUCAAGAUCUGUAACACGAAUGAAAUGAUGUAAAUUA